rnacentral:misc_RNA from 1 species
AGAACAUAUCAUGAAAUAUUUUUGAAGUCGGACGAUGACCAUGAUUCAGUUCGGAAUGCUAGAAAGUAUUUCAAAUUGUCACUGAAUCUUGCCAAAACACUGAAGAAGAAUUUACAAUCGAGCAAGCAUUCUUUUGUGAAGGAGUACAUUGAUGCCUACAACAACAUUGGUAUGCUUGAAGUUGAUCUUGAUAACUUGGAAGAAGCUGAAAGAAUUCUCAGUAAAGGAUUAGAAAUUUGUGA